rnacentral:rRNA from 1 species
UGGGGAAUUUUGGACAAUGGGCGAAAGCCUGAUCCAGCAAUGCCGCGUGUGUGAAGAAGGCCUUCGGGUUGUAAAGCACUUUUGUCCGGAAAGAAAUCCUUGGCUCUAAUACAGUCGGGGGAUGACGGUACCGGAAGAAUAAGCACCGGCUAACUACGUGCCAGCAGCCGCGGUAAUACGUAGGGUGCAAGCGUUAAUCGGAAUUACUGGGCGUAAAGCGUGCGCAGGCGGUUUGCUAAGACCGAUGUGAAAUCCCCGGGCUCAACCUGGGAACUGCAUUGGUGACUGGCAGGCUAGAGUAUGGCAGAGGGGGGUAGAAUUCCACGUGUAGCAGUGAAAUGCGUAGAGAUGUGGAGGAAUACCGAUGGCGAAGGCAGCCCCCUGGGCCAAUACUGACGCUCAUGCACGAAAGCGUGGGGAGCAAAACAGGAUUAGAUACCCUGGUAGUCCACGCCCUAAAACGAUGUCAACUAGUUGUUGGGGAUUCAUUUCCUUAGUAACGUAGCUAACGCGUGAAGUUGACCGCCUGGGGAGUACGGUCGCAAGAUUAAAACUCAAAUGAAUUGACGGGGUCAUAGCUG